GACGAAGGUGGCAAGCGUUGUUCGGUGUUACUGGGCUUAAAGCGUGUGUAGGCGGAAAAGUAAGCGUCCUGUGAAAGCCCCCGGCUUAACCGGGGAACCGCGAGACGUACUGCUUUUCUUGAGGCAAGUAGGGGUGCAUGGAACUCUUGGUGGAGCGGUGGAAUGCGUAGAUAUCAAGAGGAACGCCGGCGGUGAAAACGGUGCACUGGGCUUGUCCUGACGCUGAGACACGAAAGCGUGGGGAGCGAACGGGAUUAGAUACCCCCGUA
rnacentral:rRNA from 1 species